CAACCGAUGACGACGAAGUGAAAGACGAUGAACUUUGCUUAAACGGUCUUACAAAGUUGGAAGAUGAUUUUCGAGCUGGCGGGUCCGUCAACGGCCGUUCCAGGCAGAGGAGAAGGCUUGAUUGCGCCAAAGACUCCAGACAUCGAAUCCUUGCUCCGAGGGGAAAUCAUCGAAAACGACGGUGAAUGUCCGACAGGCACCCGCUAUUGGUAGCACUGGACAAGUCGGAUAUCCUUGCUUGGAUCCUUUUAAAGUUGCCCGAUAAACUGCUGAGAGUUGAUCUCUCCUCUUGUCCAAAGGUUUUUCGUUCAUUUUUACUUGUAAUACUGCCACUAGGGUUGAUGUAGUAGCUCCACAACAUAACCUUAAAGCCUGUGACUGGAUCCGGUCUAUUUUCCCAAGUCAUGUUUU